UUGGAGGGCAAGUCUGGUGCCAGCAGCCGCGGUAAUUCCAGCUCCAAUAGCGUAUAUUAAAGUUGUUGCAGUUAAAAAGCUCGUAGUUGAACUUCGGGGUUUACCCAUUGGUCAGGCUUAAUUGUCUGCACUGGUGAGAUAAAUCUCUACCUUCUGAGGAACUUUCAUGCCAUUUAUUUGGUGUGAUGGGAAAUCAGGACUGUUACUUUGAAAAAAUUAGAGUGUUUAAAGCAGGC
rnacentral:rRNA from 1 species